rnacentral:rRNA from 1 species
CGGAGGGUGCGAGCGUUGUCCGGAAUCAUUGGGCGUAAAGGGCGCGUAGGUGGCCCGGUCAGUCAGUGGUGAAAGCGCGGGGCUCAACUCCGCGUCGGCCAUUGAUACUGCUGGGCUGGAGCACUGUAGAGGCAGGCGGAAUUCCGGGUGUAGCGGUGGAAUGCGUAGAGAUCCGGAAGAACACCGGUGGCGAAGGCGGCCUGCUGGGCAGUUGCUGACACUGAGGCGCGACAGCGUGGGGAGCAAACAGGAUUAGAUACCCUGGUAGUCCACGCCGUAAACGAUGGGCACUAGGCGCUUGGGGGAGCGACCCUCCGAGGGCCGGCGCUAACGCAUUAAGUGCCCCGCCUGGGGAGUACGGCCGCAAGGCUG